rnacentral:rRNA from 1 species
CGACCGGCGCACGGGUGAGUAACGCGUAUCCAACCUGCCCUUUACUAUGGGACAGCCCGUCGAAAGGCGGAUUAAUACCGUAUGUUGUCAUGUUGAUGCAUAUUUUCAUGACCAAAGGCUUCGGCCGGUAAAGGAUGGGGAUGCGUCUGAUUAGCUUGCCGGCGGGGUAACGGCCCACCGGGGCGACGAUCAGUAGGGGUUCUGAGAGGAAGGUCCCCCACAUCGGAACUGAGACACGGCCCAAACUCCUACGGAAGGCAGCAG